UACAGAGGGGGCAAGCGUUGUUCAGAAUUACUGGGCGUAAAGGGCGCGUAGGCGGCCUUCUAAGUCGAACGUGAAAUCCCCGGGCUCAACCCGGGAACUGCGUCCGAUACUGGAAGGCUUGAAUCCGGGAGAGGGAUGCGGAAUUCCAGGUGUAGCGGUGAAAUGCGUAGAUAUCUGGAGGAACACCGGUGGCGAAGGCGGCAUCCUGGACCGGUAUUGACGCUGAGACGCGAAAGCGUGGGGAGCAAACAGG
rnacentral:rRNA from 1 species